UAGCACGCUAGUACCUGGUAUAGACGUCCAGUUGUGUAUAAGCAAUCCAAGCAACGUUCUAAGCAAUCUGGGCAAACUUGGCUUAAUAAUAAUCCAGGUGACGUCGACACUCUAGUACAAUGAAUAAAUUCAACACACAAAGGGUUCAUAGUUCAUGGGAUAUAAUAAGUAUAGAUGCUCGAAUCCACAAUGGAAUAGGCAGCCACUGCUCAAUAAGAAAUCUGCUACACACGUGAUUAAAACUGUACCGAUUGCAGCAGCUAAAUCUACAUGUUUCGUUUCACUUGGAAACUUUGUGAAAAUACAAAGUAGAUAUAAG